rnacentral:rRNA from 1 species
GACGAACGCUGGCGGCGUGCUUAACACAUGCAAGUCGAACGGAAAGGCCCUGCUUUUGUGGGGUGCUCGAGUGGCGAACGGGUGAGUAACACGUGAGUAACCUGCCCUUGACUUUGGGAUAACUUCAGGAAACUGGGGCUAAUACCGGAUAGGAGCUCCUGCUGCAUGGUGGGGGUUGGAAAGUUUCGGCGGUUGGGGAUGGACUCGCGGCUUAUCAGCUUGUUGGUGGGGUAGUGGCUUACCAAGGCUUUGACGGGUAGCCGGCCUGAGAGGGUGGCCGGCCAAAAUGGGACUGGGAUGCGGCCCAGACUCCUACGGGAGGCAGCAGUGGGGAAUAUUGCACAAUGGGCGGGAGCCUGAUGCAGCAACGCCGCGUGCGGGAUGACGGCCUUCGGGUUGGAAACCGCUUUCGCCUGUGACGAAGCGUGAGUGACGGUAAUGGGUAAAGAAGCACCGGCUAACUACGUG